rnacentral:rRNA from 1 species
UUGAACGCUGGCGGCAGGCCUAACACAUGCAAGUCGAGCGGAUGAAGGGAGCUUGCUCCUGGAUUCAGCGGCGGACGGGUGAGUAAUGCCUAGGAAUCUGCCUGGUAGUGGGGGAUAACGUCCGGAAACGGGCGCUAAUACCGCAUACGUCCCGAGGGAGAAAGUGGGGGAUCUUCGGACCUCACGCUAUCAGAUGAGCCUAGGUCGGAUUAGCUAGUUGGUGGGGUAAAGGCCUACCAAGGCGACGAUCCGUAACUGGUCUGAGAGGAUGAUCAGUCACACUGGAACUGAGACACGGUCCAGACUCCUACGGGAGGCAGCAGUGGGGAAUAUUGGACAAUGGGCGAAAGCCUGAUCCAGCCAUGCCGCGUGUGUGAAGAAGGUCUUCGGAUUGUAAAGCACUUUAAGUUGGGAGGAAGAGCAGUAAGUUAAUACCUUGCUGUUUUGACGUUACCAACAGAAUAAGCACCGGCUAACUUCGUG